rnacentral:lncRNA from 1 species
CGUGGCUUCCACCGCAGCGGGAAAGUAUGUGUGCCCACGGGUGAGGAGCCCCCCCACGGCAGGCCGUUUGUUCCCCUGAGGCCCUCGUAUCCUGCAACUCUUUUGCGUUUCUGUAGCACUGUUUGUGUGCUGCUCUCCCCUGGCUAAUCCUUCUGUCGCUCUUGGUGUUUCUUUUUUUAAAUCUGAUUGUACUUGCUCUUUCCACUGUACUGUUUUCAGAUACUAGCUUUUCUCCCGAAACACGUGCUUAAAAUUGUUGUUUCCAAGAUGGGUGAAGAACUAGAUAACGCUCAAAGGUGAAGCUGGUGGGUAGAGAAAGAGAUUGAGAAUUUGGGGCCUGAAUGUCGUUGGCUGCUCGAGGGAUGCAACAGAAGAAAACUCAGAUGUGAUAGGAUCACAUCCUGGAACGGGAAUAAAUCCAGGAGAUGACAGCAAGCAGAAGGAAUUUUUGUGAGGUUCUUUCUGAGAGCACUCCCCCACAUCACUCUGUUAAGAGCCAUGGAAAACGAAUCUACUCAAAGAAUAAGGUUUUUUAUGCUGAC